rnacentral:lncRNA from 1 species
GAACACAUCUUGACAUCAGCCCCUGGCCUCCACAGUGCAUACAUGGGUACCAGCUGCACACAUAUGUAAACAAUUGACACACAACACACACAUACACACAGUUUCACCCAUCACAUACACACAUUCAUACUACACAUACACACACAUUCAUAUACCACAUACACACACAUACAAACACCACAUGUACAUACAUUCAUACCACACAUACACACACAUUCACUCACCACAUAUAUACACAUCCAUACCACACAUACACACACACAUUCACACAUCACAUUCACACACAUACAAACACCACAUAUAUACACAUUCAUACCACACAUACAGUCACACACCACAUACACACAUUCACACCACACACUCAUACAAUUCACACAUCACAUACACACUUUCACACACCGAACAAACACACACUUAUACCACACACACAGAUUCACAAUCACACAAACACACAUUCACACUACACACAUACACACAUUCACAUCACACAUAUACACCACACACACAUUCAUAUACUUCCUACACAUACACACACACACACACACACACACACACACACACACACAGACAUAAAGAAAAUGUUAUCUUGUACUUAACAUCUAAUAUGCAAUAUUUUGUACCUGUUUGCUUUUCUUAUUGAAAAAAGAAAUAAUCAAAGGACAGACUGUGGCUUUGAAAGUAGUCCCCAAGUCCACUGUCCCAGAGCGUCCUUCUGAUUAUGCACCUGUGACUACUGACAAAACCAAAGUCUAGGAAAGGACAAAGAGGUUUUGCCUUUGCAAUUGGGAGGCCACAGAAAUGACCUUAAACCUCUCAGUAAUUCCAGAACAGAGAAUCCUUGAUAGAACAGCCAUCCAUUUUUUUCCUAGGCUGCCUGUCUACUGUCCAUGACAUGAGGUAAUCCUCUGAUAAUGCAUGUUGACACAAAACUAUGAAGUUAGGUAAAAGCCAAGUAAAAGUAACUGAAGAAGACUAUGUGUGGUGUAGUAGAGAAAACGGCGUGUGGGUCAGACAGUUCCAGAGGAGUACAUGCUACCUGUCUGGGUGUAUGCCUAAUGUAUUUGCAUUAGUUAUUUUUUCUUUUUAAAAAAUUUUUUUAUUAGAUAUUUUCUUCAUUUACAUUUCAAAUGCUAUUCCAAAAGUCCCCUAUGCCCUCCCCCUGCCCUGCUCCCCUGCCCACUCACUCCUACUUCUUGGCCCUGGCGUUUUGCUGAAAGAACCUUGAUAUAGCUGUCUCGUGUGAGGCUUUGCCAGUGCCUGGCAAAUACAGAAGUGGAUGCUCACAGUCAUCUAUAGGAUGGAACACAGGGCCACAAUGUAGGAUCUAGAGAAAGUACCCAAGAGCUGAAGGGGUCUGCAACCCUAUAGGUGGAACAACAAUAUGAACUAAUCAGUACCCC